AUUGAACGCUAGCGGGAUGCCUUACACAUGCAAGUCGAACGGAGUGGCGAACGGGUGAGUAAUGUAUCGGAACGUGCCCAGUAGCGGGGGAUAACUACGCGAAAGCGUAGCUAAUACCGCAUACUAUUGGAGCGGCCGAUAUCGGAUGAGCUAGGUGGUGGGGUAACGGCCCUCCAAGGCGACGAUCCGUAGCUGGUUUGAGAGGACGACCAGCCACACUUGGACGUAGACACGGGCCAGACUCCUACGGGAGUCAGCAGUGGUGAAUUGUGGAGAAGGGGGGAAACCCUGAUCCCGCCAGCCCGCGUGUGCGAUGAAGGCCUUCGGGUUGUAAAGCACUUUUGGCAGGAAAGCGGGACCGGCAGAAUAAGCACCGGCUAAAUACGUGCCAGCAGCCGCGGUAAUAC
rnacentral:rRNA from 1 species